GAUGAAGAACGUAGCGAAAUGCGAUAAGUAAUGUGAAUUGCAGAAUUCAGUGAAUCAUCGAAUCUUUGAACGCACAUUGCGCCCCUUGGUAUUCCGAGGGGCAUGCCCGUUCGAGUGUCAUUAUACCCCUCAAGCCUAGCUUGGUGUUGGGGCCUGCUGUUACCGGCAGCCCUUAAAAUCAGUGGCGGUGCCAUCUGGCUCUAAGCGUAGUAAUACUUCUCGCUACAGGGUCCCGGUGGAUGCUUGCCAUCAACCCCUAAUUUUCUAUGGUUGACCUCGGAUCGGGUAGGGAUACCCGCUGAACUUAAGCAUAUCAAUAAGCGGAGGA
rnacentral:misc_RNA from 1 species